UGGCAUCAAGUGAUAAUUAAAGUUUCGGCGGUAAGAGAUGAGUAUGCGUCCUAUUAGCUAGUUGGUAAGGUAACGGCUUACCAAGGCAACGAUAGGUAGGGGUCCUGAGAGGGAGAUCCCCCACACUGGUACUGAGACACGGACCAGACUCCUACGGGAGGCAGCAGUGAGGAAUAUUGGACAAUGGAGGCAACUCUGAUCCAGCCAUGCCGCGUGCAGGAAGACUGCCCUAUGGGUUGUAAACUGCUUUUAUACAGGAAGAAACACUCCCUCGUGAGGGAGCUUGACGGUA
rnacentral:rRNA from 1 species